CUUUUUAUAAUUGAAAAAAAUCUUAAUAAAAAGCUGUAGGUACAAAUUAACUUUCUGCACAUUUUCCUUGUACACAUUUGCCUUCAGUGUGUUACCUCCCCUGGAGUCAACAACAAAGAGUCAAUGGAGCAGCUGACAAAGCAGGAGUUCAUGGCAGGAGAGGGAAAAUAUUUCUAUAGAAUCUCAAGAAAGCCUUUCCAUGUGGGCUGAUCCCAAAUACAUAAGACAGAAUAGAGGCUUUUGAAAUGAACCUUUAAAAAUAAUGGGAUGCCCUGAAAAUAAUAUUUAACCCAGUGACUGCUCAUCAAAGUGAGAACAAUGAUAUGCUGGAAUGGCACCUGGAGCGCGUUCCGUGGUCCGCUCAGCUGGCUACCACAGAGCGUCUCAGGAGCAAGCUCCGGGCUUUCAAUGCCUUUGUGUAAGUGUUCACGUUCAGCUUAGCCAUGAGAUAUGGCUCCUACAUUUUUACACAGUAGAAAAGAAAGCCAUUUUCCAAGUUUGUUUCCACAGCAACAACAUUCCAUAUUGUCUUCUUCUGUAUCUAAACAUGAUUAAGCUUCAACCACAGGGAGUGGAAUAAAAUCCUUGCAAAAUAACCAGUUGAGACCGACUGUGAGGGUGAAAUCUCCAGUGGUCAUAUUCAUUCAACAAGCAGUGAUUACCAGCCUACCCUAGGAACUGUGCAAGGCCCUGGAGAUGUGGGGUUGGAGAAGACCCAAGGCCUGCCCUCUGGAUCGUCCGAGACUGGUCUCUCUCUGGUUUUCAAAUUGUUUCUUUUUUCCCGUGAUACAAAGACAACCCGCGCGUCAGCUUGUCCUCUUCAAGGGCAGCCUUCCUCUAACAGAUUUGGGGCAAAGGGAAGAGUUUGUUCUUGGCAUCCGUGUGGCAGCUCUGGGGGCCUGGUGCACACCUCCUGCCUCUCCUGUCUCUACUCUAGAUCUGGGUGCCCUCCCUCUCUCUUGGGGUGCUGCCAGCCCACACUGGCCCCAAUGGAUGGGUCACAUUGCAAAGACAGUGUUUCCCUUUAGUGCUCAAAUCUCUAGCUCCCAACCCC